rnacentral:rRNA from 1 species
CCUACGGGCGGCAGCAGUGGGGAAUAUUGGGCAAUGGGCGCAAGCCUGACCCAGCAACGCCGCGUGAAGGAAGAAGGCUCUCGGGUUGUAAAAUUCUUUUAUCAGGGACGAAGCAAGUGACGGUUCCUGCGGAAUAAGCCACGGCUAACUACGCGCCAGCAGCCGCGGGAAUACGUAGGUGGCAAGCGUUAUCCGGAUUUACUGGGUGUAAAGGGUGUGUAGGCGGGAAAGAAAGUCAGAUGUGAAAACCAUGGGCUCAACCUGUGGCCUGCAUUUGAAACUGUUUUUCGUGAGUACUGGAGAGGCAGACGGAAGUCCUGGUGUAGCGGUGAAAUGCGUAGAUAUUAGGAGGAACACCAGUGGCGAAGGCGGUCUGCUGGACAGCAACUGACGCUGAGGCGCGAAAGCGUGGGGAGCAAACAGGAUUAGAUACCCGGGUAGUC